CCUACGGGCGGCAGCAGUGGGGAAUAUUGCACAAUGGGGGGAACCCUGAUGCAGCGACGCCGCGUGGGUGAAGGAGUAUUUCGGUAUGUAAAGCUCUAUUAGCAGGGAAGAACAAUGACGGUACCUGACUAAGAUGCACCGGCUAAAUACGUGCCAGCAGCCGCGGUAAUAUGUAUGGUGCCAGCGUUAUCCGGAUUUACUGGGUGUAAAGGGAGCGCAGGUGGCGCGUUAAGCCUGGUGUGAAAGCCCGCGGCCCAACCGCGGGACUGCAUUGGGAACUGGCGCGCGGGAGUGCAGGAGAGGUGGGCGGAAUUCCUGGUGUAGCGGUGAAAUGCGUAGAUAUUAGGAGGAACACCAGUGGCGAAGGCGGCCUACUGGACGGUAACUGACGCUGAGGCUCGAAAGCGUGGGGAGCAAACAGGAUUAGAUACCCUUGUAGUC
rnacentral:rRNA from 1 species